AAUGAACGUUGGCGGCGUGGAUUAGGCAUGCAAGUCGAGCGAGAAUCGGUCUUCGGAUCGAGGACAGCGGCGAACGGGGUAGGAAUACCUCGGUGACGUACCCCCAGGUCGGGGAUAGCGGCGGGAAACUGCCGGUAAUACCCGAUGACCUUCCCAAGUUUUACGACAGGGGAAGCAAAGGUGUGAUUCCGUCUGGGGAGCGGCUGAGGUCGUAUUAGCUGGUUGGUGAGGUAAUGGCUCACCAAGGCAAUGAUGCGUAGGGGGUGUGAGAGCAUGGCCCCCACCACUGGCACUGAGACACUGGCCAGACACCUACGGGUGGCUGCAGUCGAGAAUCUUCGGCAAUGGGCGCAAGCCUGACCGAGCGACGCCGCGUGCGGGAUGAAGGUCUUCGGAUUGUAAACCGCUGUCGGAGGGGAUGAAGUGCAGGGGGGUACUCCCCCCUGUUUGACAGAGCCUCGGAGGAAGCACGGGCUAAGUUCGUGCCAGCCGCCGCAGUAAUAC
rnacentral:rRNA from 1 species